rnacentral:rRNA from 1 species
CUACGGGCGGCACCAGUGAGGAAUUUUGCGCAAUGGGGGAAACCCUGACGCAGCAACGCCGCGUGAGUGAUGAAGGCCUUCGGGUCGUAAAACUCUGUCAAGUGGGAAGAACCUAUGUAAGGUUAAUACCCUUAUGUACUGACGGUACCACUGAAGGAAGCACCGGCUAACUCCGUGCCAGCAGCCGCGGUAAUACGGAGGGUGCAAGCGUUAUUCGGAAUUAUUGGGCGUAAAGGGCGCGCAGGCGGUUUUGUAAGUCAGAUGUGAAAGCCCGGGGCUUAACCUCGGAAGUGCAUUUGAUACUGCAAGACUUGAGUAUGGGAGGGGGAAGUGGAAUUCCUGGUGUAGAGGUGAAAUUCGUAGAUAUCAGGAGGAACACCAGUGGCGAAGGCGACUUCCUGGACCAAUACUGACGCUGAGGCGCGAAGGCGUGGGGAGCAAACAGGAUUAGAUACCCUCGUAGUC